rnacentral:sRNA from 1 species
UAAAUUAACGUCGCACAUACAUCGGCACAUGAGGUCCGGGUGCCCGUUAGGCGGACUCCGCUGAAUCGGGUUGAUCCAUGGGGUGUAUGGAGGCCUAAC